rnacentral:rRNA from 1 species
GAGUUUGAUCGUGGCUCAGAUUGAACGCUGGCGGCAUGCCUUACACAUGCAAGUCGAACGGCAGCAUGAUCUAGCUUGCUAGAUUGAUGGCGAGUGGCGAACGGGUGAGUAAUACAUCGGAACGUGCCCUGUAGUGGGGAUAACUAGUCGAAAGAUUAGCUAAUACCGCAUACGACCUGAGGGUGAAAGUGGGGGACCGCAAGGCCUCAUGCUAUAGGAGCGGCCGAUGUCUGAUUAGCUAGUUGGUGGGGUAAAGGCCCACCAAGGCGACGAUCAGUAGCUGGUCUGAGAGGACGAUCAGCCACACUGGGACUGAGACACGGCCCAGACUUCUACGGGAGGCAGCAGUGGGGAAUUUUGGACAAUGGGCGAAAGCCUGAUCCAGCAAUGCCGCGUGUGUGAAGAAGGCCUCGGUUGUAAGUACGACUUU